rnacentral:rRNA from 1 species
UACGUAGGGGGCAAGCGUUGUCCGGAAUCAUUGGGCGUAAAGAGCGCGUAGGCGGCCCGGUAAGUCCGCUGUGAAAGUCAAGGGCUCAACCCUUGAAUGCCGGUGGAUACUGUCGGGCUAGAGUCCGGAGGAGGCGAGUGGAAUUCCUGGUGUAGCGGUGAAAUGCGCAGAUAUCAGGAAGAACACCAAUGGCGAAGGCAGCUCUCUGGGACGGUACUGACGCUGAGACGCGAAAGCGUGGGGAGCGAACAGG